AGGAAAGCUGGGAGACUACUGGCAAGAAGCAAGACGUAGGAAGGGAAGAAAUCACAGGAAGGGUUUGGAGAUGUGACUGUCCCACCCAGGUUAUCACCCCCAUGACCCUUCAGCUGGCAGGUACUGCAAGACUUGCCCCAAGGCUUUCAAAACUCCAGGGUUUCUCAAUCCUCCUCAGGCUUUGCGGUCCUGAUGCUGCUCCAGAGCUGGCAGGACCUACAGCCAGGGCAUCUUUGACACUGGAUGGCACAACUGGGCCUCUGUCCUUUUUGGAAGCCACUGCCUCCAGGAAGUCCUCCGUCCUUGGACUGAGUCACACUUCACCCUCACUCAUCAGCUUGUGCCAGGCAGAGGAGGCUGUCCGGCUCCUUUCCUUGAAGAUUUUUAAUUUUGCUCAACACUCUGUCCCCGCGCCCUGACCCACCCCCCACACCACACUGGUACUCCGUUCUACCUCAGACUUCUCCUUCAGGCUCUGCGUACAAGCUGGUCUGCUACUUCACCAGCUGGUCCCAGUACCGGGAAGGCGUUGGAAGCUUCUUACCAGACGCCAUCCAACCUUUCCUGUGCACCCACAUCAUCUACAGCUUUGCCAACAUCAGCAGCGACAACAUGCUUAGCACAUGGGAGUGGAAUGACGAGUCGAACUAUGACAAGCUGAAUAAACUGAAGACCAGAAACACCAACCUGAAGACCCUCCUGUCUGUUGGAGGGUGGAAAUUUGGCGAAAAAAGAUUUUCCGAGAUUGCCUCCAACACUGAGAGACGCACUGCUUUCGUCCGGUCGGUAGCCCCGUUCCUGCGUUCUUAUGGCUUUGAUGGGCUGGAUCUCGCCUGGCUCUACCCUCGCUUAAGAGACAAGCAGUAUUUCUCCACCCUGAUCAAGGAACUGAAUGCGGAAUUCACAAAGGAGGUCCAGCCAGGCAGAGAGAAACUCCUGCUCAGCGCAGCUUUGUCAGCAGGAAAGGUGGCCAUUGACACUGGCUAUGACAUCGCCCAGAUAGCCCAACACCUGGAUUUUAUCAAUCUCAUGACCUACGAUUUCCAUGGAGUCUGGCGCCAAAUCACAGGCCAUCACAGCCCCCUCUUCCAAGGCCAGAAGGACACUAGGUUUGACAGAUACAGCAAUGUGAACUAUGCCGUGCAGUACAUGAUACGUCUGGGAGCCCAGGCCAGCAAGCUACUGAUGGGCAUCCCCACCUUUGGGAAGAGCUUCACUCUGGCAUCUUCUGAAAAUCAGUUGGGAGCUCCAAUCUCAGGGGAAGGAUUACCAGGCCGGUUCACCAAGGAGGCAGGGACCCUGGCCUACUACGAGAUAUGCGACUUCCUCAAAGGAGCUGAAGUACAUCGACUCUCCAACGAGAAGGUUCCCUUCGCUACCAAGGGCAACCAGUGGGUGGGGUAUGAGGACAAGGAGAGUGUCAAAAACAAGGUUGGGUUCCUGAAGGAGAAGAAGCUGGCAGGAGCCAUGGUGUGGGCACUGGAUUUGGAUGAUUUCCAGGGCACCUGUCAGCCGAAGGAAUUCUUCCCGCUCACCAACGCCAUCAAGGAUGCCCUGGCUUAGCUCCCCCUUUCCCAUAUGGUACCCCCACUCUCUGGCCAGGAGUUUAAUCUCUUGCAAUGUUAAGUCCCCCAACUGAGCCUCAGUUUCUCCUUCCCUUGGCACCUGUGUAAGGGGCCACAGCAGGCUCAGCUAUGGAGAACAGGGAACUAGGGUAGGACGAUGGUGGGGUUGUGAGAGUCACAGUGUGAGCAGAUACACAACCCUGUUAAGGAAUGCAAAUUCUCAGACUCUAACCUCCCUUUACCCAGCCUGACCAAAGGACACCACUUGGAUCAAGUAGGCAAAUAUCUUACAGGAUUGAGGGACCAUACUAAUUAUACCCUCUGCAAAGCCCAACUUGAAUCCUUCCCUUAGGAACUUAAUCGUCCCACUUCCCUUUCCCUAAUUCCACAGCUGUUCAAUAAAGCGCCAGAACCUAA